rnacentral:rRNA from 1 species
UACGAAGGGGGCUAGCGUUGCUCGGAAUUACUGGGCGUAAAGGGCGCGUAGGCGGACAGUUUAGUCAGAGGUGAAAGCCCAGGGCUCAACCCUGGAAUUGCCCUUGAUACUGGCUGUCUUGAGUACGGGAGAGGUGUGUGGAACUCCGAGUGUAGAGGUGAAAUUCGUAGAUAUUCGGAAGAACACCAGUGGCGAAGGCGACACACUGGCCCGUUACUGACGCUGAGGCGCGAAAGCGUGGGGAGCAAACAGG